UCAAGUUACAAAGGGCGCAGGGCGGAUGCCUUGGCACCAGGAGCCGAAGAAGGACGUGAUAAGCUGCGAAAAGCUGCGGGGAGGAGCAAAUAUCCAUUGAUCCGCAGGUAUCCGAAUGGGGAAACCCGGCAGAAAGAACUUCUGUCACCGUAUGAUGAAUCCAUAGUCAUACGGAGGGAACCCGGCGAACUGAAACAUCUAAGUAGCCGGAGGAAGAGGAAGAAACAUCGAAUCCCUAAGUAGUGGCGAGCGAAAGGGGACGAAGCCCAAACCAAGGAUUUAUCCUUGGGGUUGAGGACCACAUACGAAGAAGCAGUAGGUAGCAGAACGGUUUUGGGAAAGCCGGCCAAAGAGAGUGAAAGCCUCGUAUGCGAAACAGACUGUGAUUCAGUGGUAUCCGGAGUACUACGGGACACGAGAAACCCCGUAGGAAGCAGGGGGGACCACCCCCCAAGGCGAAAUACUACCUGGUGACCGAUAGAGUAUAGUACCGUGAGGGAAAGGUGAAAAGAACCCCGGGAGGGGAGUGAAAGAGAACCUGAAACCCUGUGUCUACAAGCUGCGGAAGAGCGACUAACGCUCGACCGUGUACUUUUUGUAGAACGGUCCGGCGAGUUGCCGUUGCUGGCAGGUUAAGUACUUAAGGUACGGAGCCGAAGGGAAACCAAGUCUUAACAGGGCGGUAAGUCAGUAACGGCAGACCCGAAACCGGGUGACCUACCCAUGGCCAGGAUGAAGUCUGCGUAAAAGUGGAUGGAGGUCCGAACACACGUCUGUUGAAAAAGGCGGUGAUGAGCUGUGGGUAGCGGAGAAAUUCCAAUCGAACUCGGAGAUAGCUGGUUCUCCCCGAAAUAGCUUUAGGGCUAGCCUCGGUAUAGUCUAAUGGAGGUAGAGCACUGAAUCGCUGCGGGGGCGUCAAAGUCUACCAAUGCGUAUCAAACUCCGAAUGCCAUAUAGAUGUUUACCGGGAGUCAGACUGUAUGAGAUAAGUCGGACAGUCAAAAGGGAAACAGCCCAGACCAUCUGCUAAGGUCCCAAAGUGUAUGUUAAGUGGUAAAGGAUGUGGGGUUUCGAAGACAACUAGGAUGUUGGCUCAGAAGCAGCCAUUCAUUCAAAGAGUGCGUAAUAGCUCACUAGUCGAGAGGUCCUGCGCCGAAAAUGUCCGGGGCUGAAACAUAACACCGAAGCAAUGGAAUAUACCGUAAGGUAUGUUGGUAGGGGAGCAUUGAUAACACGAAGAAGCGGUACCGUAAGGAGCCGUGGAGGGUUAUCAAGAGAGAAUGCCGGAAUGAGUAGCGAGAUGAAGGUGAGAAUCCUUCAGGCCGUAUAUCCAAGGUUUCCAGGGUAAAGCUGAUCUUCCCUGGGGAAGUCGGGACCUAAGCUCAGGCUGAGAAGCGUAGGCGAUGGACAACUGGUUGAUAUUCCAGUACCUCUGGCUGUCAGAAAUGUGGGGACACGGAGAUUCAGGGAGUGCCUGUAAAGGAUUCAGGUGCAAGCAUGGUUUAUGCCGGGCAGGCAAAUCCGUCCGGGUAAGUGAACUGUGUGAUGCGGACCGAAAUAUAAGUAGGGAAGCUCCUGGGAGAGCCGUCGAGAAAAGCCGCUAUUGUGUAGUCAGAGCCCGUACCGUAAACCGACACAGGUGGAUGGGGAGAGUAUCCCAAGGCCGGCGGGAGAAGCAUUGUUAAGGAACUCGGCAAAAUGGCCCCGUAAGUUCGCGAUAAGGGGUGCCUGUAGAGAUACAGGCCGCAGAGAAUAGGCUCAAGCAACUGUUUAGCAAAAACACAGGUCUAUGCGAAACCGUAAGGUGAUGUAUAUGGGCUGACGCCUGCCCGGUGCUGGAAGGUUACGGGGAGUGCUUAGGAGCAAUCCGAAGGUACGAACUUAAGCCCCAGUAAACGGCGGCCGUAACUAUAACGGUCCUAAGGUAGCGAAAUUCCUUGUCGGGUAAGUUCCGACCCGCACGAAAGGCGUAAUGAUUUGAGCGCUGUCUCAACAAUGCACCCGGUGAAAUUGAAGUACCAGUGAAGAUGCUGGUUACCUGCGCCAGGACGGAAAGACCCCAUGGAGCUUUACUC
rnacentral:rRNA from 1 species